CGGCGGCGGCGGCUGCAGAUGGAUAGCGUGGCGACGGCUGAGGGCGGUGGUGGCGACGGCCGAGGUCGGAUCCGGCGCAGGCGAGUGAAAUUUUGUGAUGUAGUUUUGUAGUUGUGAUGCAUAUUGUAGUUCUUCUUGGACGUUUAUUUUGUUAUUGAGUGAUUUGGUUGUACCAAUUUUGGGCAUUGUUUCCUUUGUAUCCGAUUCUAAGAGGGAUUGGGAUUCGGGGGUUGAGGGCGAAGGCGCCCGCGAGGGACGAAGACGCCCUUCGUCCAACCUGUGACGAUCGGAAAAAUCCAAAUAUUUAUAUUAGUUAUAGAUUUCAUAUAUGUAUUCAAAACAAUAAAAAGAAAGCCUUAUACAGCCCAAUAGGUAAACAAACCACUCAUUUUAGGCCUUACCUCACCCUUUCUCAUCUAUUGGCCCAAGUUAUUGGGCCCAAAUUUCCCACUCCGCUCCCCCUCUCUUCUCUCCCUCUCAGCCCAUUCCGACUCCUUGCUUCUUUGAUUCUCCCCUUUCCCCUAAUUCCCCAAACCCUAGCUGGAGACUGGAGACCGGAGGCCGACGGUGAAGCGCUGGUGGCCGGCGGCCGGCGGGAAGGCUGUGCAGCACGGCGUUCGGCAGCGGCAGGGCAGUGCAUUGACGGACAGACACGGGCGCGGCGCGUGCGGCUUGGCUCCAAACCUGCAGUGCGCGGGGUCACGAGCGACGGGCGCGUGGUGGCGGCAGCAGUGCAGCGCGGCCGAUCGGCCGCGCGGGGCAAGGCUGCACCGCCGCAGCCCGCAGGGCAGCCGCGCGUCAUCUCGCCACGACGCCAUUUCCCUGUCUCAUCCUCUUACUCUCAGGUCUCUUUCAGACUUUCAGUAGUUCCAAUGCCGCUAAUCAUUUGUGUUAGUUUCACUUGAUCAAUAGAGCUAGAAUUUAGGCCGGCUUGCCAUUGGUCAAGAAUCCAGAGGCAUUAAUCCCAUUCCCAUAUUGUUGGAUUUUUAGGUCUAAAGUAUGAAGAGAAAGAAUGGUAUUGCUCUUGAACAAUUGUUCAUGAAUCCUAAAUCAGCAAUUCAUGAGUCCCUUGCCUCAAACACUGCACAAUUUUCAAUCCUCUACUAGCCACUUAGUCGUGCGUUGCACGACUUUGGGUGCCCGUAAUGUACAAUCAUACUUAAUUUUGAUUUUUUUUCUUUUCAAGAAUCAUACAACUUGAUAAACUAUUAGUUAGAAUUAUAGAUUCAGCUCAAGCUAUAUUUGAACUGAAGGUUCAAAUAAUAUGUCCAGGAUCAACCUCUUACCGUAUACCAUCAAAAGAUGAUAAUGUUUACUCAGCAAUAUGAUGCAUAAGGCAUAAAAUAGUCAAACCUAACGCAAUACACAUUAGCAAACUAAACGGCAAUCUAGUCCAUGAUUUGAAACCAACACAAAUUGCUCAAAGAUCAUUGGACCUCUGAGUAUCUCAAGAAAAUAACAUAAUAAACAUCCCAAAAUAAAAAUGCACAAUUUUGUUAUGAAGUGUAGUAAAAAAUCCAGAGUCAUCACAAUUAGUGUAGUUUGUCUGUUUGUGCAUUGUUGCCAACCAAAAACCCUUCAGCCCAAAGCUAAGGAGGAUUUCUCAACUCUUCCCUGUAGGCCUGAGAAAGUAGAUAUGAUUAACAUUUACUAAUUACAUAGGCUAAAUGCAAAGUCAGAAAUUACACUAUUCAGGUGAUUGGUGUACAACUAAAAAGGUGCCAUCGAUGUUUGUUGUUAAUUAACAGGUUAAGGUUAAGGUGCCAUCAGGCCUCAUGAACACACCAGAGAACCAAUAACAUAGUGACCAUGAGCUGUUUGCUUGGUUUUUAGCUUCAAAACUCAGAAGGCAAAAAUAUUAAAGUGAAUAGGUAAUAAUAGAUAUUCUAUCUGCUUAGCAUUUAAUUGUGUCCUAAACUUCUAAUACAUCGAUGUCCUUGAUUCGCAUAUUUGCACAACAGACUGACGCAGGGCAAGAAACCAAGUGUCUUUUACCGUCAUCGAAGGCACAUUAAUGUCAAACCAAACCAAACCUUUAGAUCAUUGCUGAUGAUGCUAAAAAAAACCAUCGUCCAAGAAAAAAGAAUCAUUUGAGUUGGCUAUCCGCCUUUAAGAUUAAUAUUCCCUUGCUGAACAAAACACAACAACAAUCCUUUUUUAACAGAAACAUAAUUGUACAUGUGUUUUUUAAUAUAUUUUUAUAGCAUUGCUCUUUGUCAAUCCAUCCUAUUACUGAUAUUUUUUUGACCUUAUAUGUAGUUCCUGGCUACAGUGUGAGAAAGCAAAGAUAGGAGGUGAUGGGAUUAUCUGAGUUUGUGACUUACCAAAAUAUUUAGUUGUGAUCCGAUGCUGUUUUGGAGCUGCGAUUGGGAUUGGGAUCAUAGGAUGGGGAUGGGGAUGGGGAUGAGAAAGUGAGUGGAGGG
rnacentral:lncRNA from 1 species